CCCUUAGAUGUUCUGGGCUGCACGCGCGCUACACUGAAGCGUUCAACGAGUAUUCACCUUGCCCGGGAGGGUUGGGUAAUCUUUUGAAAACGCUUCGUGAUGGGGAUAGAUUAUUGCAAUUAUUAAUCUUCAACGAGGAAUUCCUAGUAAGCGCGAGUCAUCAGCUCGUGCUGAUUACGUCCCUGCCCUUUGUACACACCGCCCGUCGCUCCUACUGAUUGAGUGAUCCGGUGAAUAAUUCGGACUGCAGCACUGCUUGGUCUCCAGGCUUUGCAGCGGAAAGUUUAGUGAACCUUAUCACUUAGAGGAAGGAGAAGUCGUAACA
rnacentral:rRNA from 1 species